GACAGAGGUCUCAAGCGUUGUUCGGAAUUACUGGGCGUAAAGGGCGCGUAGGCGGCGUGUUAAGUCAGCUGUGAAAUCUCCAAGCUUAACUUGGAACGGUCAGCUGAUACUGAUGUGCUAGAGUGCAGAAGGGGCAACUGGAAUUCUCGGUGUAGCGGUGAAAUGCGUAGAUAUCGAGAGGAACACCUGCGGCGAAGGCGGGUUGCUGGGCUGACACUGACGCUGAGGCGCGAAAGCCAGGGGAGCGAACGGG
rnacentral:rRNA from 1 species